UGAACCAGCCAAGUCGCGUGAGGGAUGAAGGUUCUAUGGAUCGUAAACCUCUUUUAUAAGGGAAUAAAGUGCGGGACGUGUCCCGUUUUGUAUGUACCUUAUGAAUAAGGAUCGGCUAACUCCGUGCCAGCAGCCGCGGUAAUACGGAGGAUCCGAGCGUUAUCCGGAUUUAUUGGGUUUAAAGGGUGCGUAGGCGGCCUUUUAAGUCAGCGGUGAAAGUCUGUGGCUCAACCAUAGAAUUGCCGUUGAAACUGGGGGGCUUGAGUAUGUUUGAGGCAGGCGGAAUGCGUGGUGUAGCGGUGAAAUGCAUAGAUAUCACGCAGAACCCCGAUUGCGAAGGCAGCCUGCCAAGCCAUUACUGACGCUGAUGCACGAAAGCGUGGGGAUCAAACAGGAUUAGAUACCCUGGUAGUCCACGCAGUAAACGAUGAUCACUAGCUGUUUGCGAUACACUGUAAGCGGCACAGCGAAAGCGUUAAGUGAUCCACCUGGGGAGUACGCCGGCAACGGUGAAACUCAAAGGAAUUGACGGGGGCCCGCACAAGCGGAGGAACAUGUGGUUUAAUUCGAUGAUACGCGAGGAACCUUACCCGGGUUUGAACGCAUUCGGACCGAGGUGGAAACACCUUUUCUAGCAAUAGCCGUUUGCGAGGUGCUGCAUGGUUGUCGUCAGCUCGUGCCGUGAGGUGUCGGCUUAAGUGCCAUAACGAGCGCAACCCUUGCCACUAGUUACUAACAGGUAAAGCUGAGGACUCUGGUGGGACUGCCAGCGUAAGCUGCGAGGAAGGCGGGGAUGACGUCAAAUCAGCACGGCCCUUACAUCCGGGGCGACACACGUGUUACAAUGGCGUGGACAAAGGGAGGCCACCUGGCGACAGGGAGCGAAUCCCCAAACCACGUCUCAGUUCGGAUCGGAGUCUGCAACCCGACUCCGUGAAGCUGGAUUCGCUAGUAAUCGCGCAUCAGCCAUGGCGCGGUGAAUACGUUCCCGGGCCUUGUACACACCGCCCGUCAAGCCAUGGGAGCCGGGGGUACCUGAAGUCCGUAACCGCGAGGAUCGGCCUAGGGUAAAACUGGUGACUGGGGCUAAGUCGUAACAAGGUAGCCGUACCGGAAGGUGCGGCUG
rnacentral:rRNA from 1 species